GUGGGGCUGGGGAUGUGGUAGCACGCUCGCCUAGCACGCGUGAGGCACUGGGUUCGAUUCUCAGCACCACA
rnacentral:tRNA from 1 species